rnacentral:lncRNA from 1 species
AAGAAAUUCUCAUCUAAAAUUAUAUAAAUCAAUUGGGGUUUGAAAUCGAAGACAUAUCUAGGGCUUUGAUCAGCCCCUAACUACUAAGGAGUUUAGUUACAUAUAAUCUUGAUUAAGAACAUCAGAGAAUACAUGGAAGAUGAAAUAAGGGUGAGAAGAAGAAAACUUGAUUGAAGAAGAUCUUUGCCGAUCGAGUUCUUUUUCCUCUCCUUUCUUUCUUCUCCUUCUCUCUCUUUUUCUUCUCUUUCUUUCUUCUCUUUUUCUCUCUCUGGUUCUUGUUUUUCCUCUUGUUUGGCUGCUCCCUUGUAUAAAUAGGUUAGUUAACCUAUAUCUCACGUCCAUCACCAAUCCAACUAGGAUUAGGGAUCCUAAUUAAGCCCAAUUAUCUUCUUUUCUUUGUUUGACUUCAAAACACCUAAAAACAAAUAAAGUUAAUUAAAAAUAGGAAAACAUCACAAAAUAAAUAAGUAAUAAGAAUAAUUAGCAUGAUAAAAGUCGCACAAAUAUGCGACUAUCAGUGGUGGUGGAUAACGUCACGGUGGACACCUCUCACCUAAAAUGAACUGAAUAUUAUUGCCUUUCGUGCGGGUGGUGGAGAUUGACGACUGAAAAUUUUACUUAUGCUAGCUUUGAACUCCCGGAAAUUAAAAGAAUAGGAUUAGUAGGAUAUAUACUACGAAUGACAGUACUGUACAGUUAGCAAACUGGAUGCUACUACAGAAUUCGAAGGAGUUUGAACUAUGAUUUUAUUGAUCUACUUGAAGAACUCGACGCCCAAUAAGGGGUAUACUAAACAGCACACAUGCAUGCAUAUAUGGCUGCACGCCUUCAUCAUGCUGCUAACUUCACUAGCUCAGGGGAGAGGUGGCGGUGGGGAUGGAGGUAGCGGUUCCGUUCGCGGUACCGGUCGAGUCCAUCGCCUUGGUGGCGGUGGUGGAGGUAUCCGCUUGGCCUUGUUUGACACCACUUCAAAUCUACUCACAGAAAGGUCGGAAAACCCUUCAGCUGCCUUAACCAUGUAACUAGGGUACUUGGAUAGUAGUAAUCCAAAAACCAACAAGACAAUAAUCGAACUUGGAGCGGCAUCCAUUUUUGUCAUAGUACCUUCACGGCUUCGAUCACCACUAUAUGAUUAUAUGAGUUUGGCACAGAAUUUAUAGCCAAACGUACGUUCUCUUAUCUUCUACUAAAAAUUCCACAACGUACACCUACCACCACAUUUUUUUCUCGAUUGAAAUCCACUUGUAUCACACUACUAGGAUGUGGGUCAGUAGGCAAAGCGUGUUUUCCGUCUCCAUUGAGAUUAUAGGGAACAUGAUCCGUCACUAUAAAGCCUUGGGGACUGAUUUUCUCUCUGAGCCAGGAUGUACCAUCUCCAUAUUGGGUUUUUGCAAUUUGAAGACGGAUUUUCCUGUCCGUCCCACCCUGAGCAUCAUACUCACGCACACACUCUCUUUUUCCCUCUAUGACAGUAACAGUGCUCUAUGUUUUUUAUAUAGUAUAAUAAUCUGAUCUGUUGCGGUGAAAUUUGAUACACCGUAUAUUCAUCCGCGUGCCUAAUUUAAGCAAAUUUAACAAACAAAUAUAAAAAAACUGAAAAUUUCAAUAAAACACCAAAUCCGGUUUUGAAUUAUUUACCUUGGUUUUGGUUUUACUAAUGGGGACCCAGUUUUUUGUCAUGUAUUGUACCACAGCAAAAAUGUUAAGUACAAGCUACCAAAUGAAAAUACAAUACUUCUCAAUACAUAUACUCGAAUGAAAAUCUACAUAAUCUUUUCCCUGGACAAUGAACACUUCGUCAGCACUAACAAACUCCUCCAAUGGCUCUUGCCAAAAUAUAUCCUGAAAAACAAUCCAAUAAACAUUAUUAAAAAAACAUUUCAGCAAACAUCAUUUCAUUUUGGUGGCAUAUAUAUUGGAAAAUGUGGAUUGAAAUUCUGAGUAAAUACUUAAUUAAAUAAAUAUGUCCCAGAUAAAAAAGGAAUGUUCACUCGGUACCUUUUUGGAUCUUAUUCCGCUGAUUCUUUUCUCCAAUAUUCCUUCUAGGCUCUUAAGUUCCUUGACAUUCAAAGCGCUAACAGCUUCACCUAGUAUAUGUGAUAAAUGUGAUAAAUUAGUAUGGGGUUCACAUCAAAAACCAAUUGGCAAUGGGUGAAGUGGCCCAAACCCUUAUAAACCCACAUGCAAGGUCUUUUAUUCAUGAUGUGGGAUAGAUAUCACAACACGCCCCCGCACGUGUGACGAAUUUUCAAGCCUAACACGUGGACAACAUUUAGGGUGACGUGGAGUUCGUGUGGCCGUUACACAUUCACACGUGGACGUGGGUAACCCGCUCUGAUACCAUGAUAAAGUAGUCUGAGAUUCACAUCUAAAACCAAUUGGCAAUGGCUUGAGUGGAGUGGCCCAAACCCUUAUAAACCCACAGACAAGGUCCCUUAUUCCCGAUGUGAGAUAGAUAUCUCAACAAUAUGCUUGCAAACAUCACCCGUACAUUAUCAGAAUCAAAUUUCAUAUACCUCCAGAAAAAAUUAAAAAUAGAUAUUUCCUGAGUGUACACUUGGUACUUAACCUGUUUGAAUUCUGAAUUUUUCUGUUAUGUCUUCUUAGUAUAAAUGCUUCUAGCUGGUAAAACUGAAGCCACAAAUGUAGUUACACCAUAAGUCAAACCGACUGCACAUAUCCAGAAGAUCGUGUAAGCUUAAGCUCAUAAGAAAAUCAAAAGAGUAUGCUUCUAAAACAAACAAAAACUGACCUCUAAAUGAACAUCAAAGAAUAGUACUUUAAUGCUUAUGUAGAUAAAUGAAAACAAACUUCAAUAUUGAGAAGACUAAAUUGAAAACCAAACUUACUUUGUUCCUUUGAAUAAGGUGUGUUUUCCCUCUACACCUCCAAGAGCUUGAAUAACAUUAGUUCCUAAUUAGGUGAGUCCACCAAAAAUAUAGCCACAAGAACAUGACCUAUAUGCAUAAUCUGAAAUCAGUACUAGUAACACAAGUCCAGGGAUGGCAACAGAAACUAUGGUAACCAACAGUCCUAGCUACCACUAUUUUUAAUUAAGGUCGUCGAAGUGUCUGCAUGAACCUUCUUCGACGUUUUUCUUAUAACUGAAAUUAAACUACGAAGGAAAAAUCACUCAACAACUCCUCAAAGCUUUAACCAAAUGAAACCCUAGCCUGGGUACACAGAGACUUUCUUACACCUUCUAGUCAGGUCAAUUUAAUUGUCAACAUUUUUUUUUCAUGUAAAUUGACAUACUAAUUCUCUUUUAUAGAUACAUCAAAACGAACACUCCAGCUGGACCAUAAUUAAAAAUCCAGAUGAUCAUGAGCAAAAGAUGGUAUUCGAUCUAUGAAUCUACAUAUGAUGUAUAAGAGUAGGUCGUUGAUCAAUUAAUUAAGAACAUGCAUACGUAUAUGGCUGUAUGCGGCGGCUGGCGGCCAGAUGCGGUUGCUGUGGUGGUGGAUAUGGUGGACACCUCUCACCAAUAAUGAACUGAAUAAGCCUAGGAUAUAUACCAGCUAAGUUUGACAGUGCUGUACAGUUAGCAAAUUGGAUGCUACUACGUACAGAUCAGGAGUUUGAACUUUGUGUUUAUAGCCCAUAGACAUAUAUAGUUUUUUCGUAUCUUUGAUACUAAACAAGUACUAUACAGAAUCUUCGAUGAAAAUUAACCACUUGAUCAUCGAUGAAGGAUUUUAUUACAAAUGGAAAAAAUUGAAGACCACAUCCUAAUUAGGCUAUACUAAGCAGUACAUAUAUGCAUGCCCCCGCAUCAUGUGGUUUGCUAACUUCACUAGCUCAGGGGAGAGGUGGCGGUGGGGAUGGAGGUAGCGGUAGAUUUCUUGGUGCCUGUCGAGUCCCUCCCCUUGGUGACGGUGGUGGACGUGUCCGCUUGGCCUUGUUUGACACCACUUCAAAUCUACUCACGGAAAGGUCGGAAAACCCUUCAGCAGCCUUAACCAUGUAACUAGGGUACUUGGAUAGUAGUAAUCCAAAAACCAACAGGACAGUUGUCGAACUUGGAGCGGCAUCCAUUUUUGUCAUAGUACAUUCACGGCUUCGAUCACCACAAUAUGAUUAUAUGAGUUUGGUACAGAAUUUAUAGCCAAACGUUCUCUCAUCUUCUACGUAAACUUCCACAACACCUACCACACAAUCUAACUACACCACAUUUUUUCUCGAUUGAAAUCCACUUGUAUCAGAAGCAACAAGAUAUAGGUCCAAAGUCAAGAGUCAAGACAGAAAACAAAGUCUACGUCCUCUAGUCCUUUACAAAUAAUUUUAAGCAAAAUAAUAUAGUUUAUGCAUGAACGCUGAUUAAUUGACCAGAUACGAAGAUAAUAUCAUGGUUCUGGUGAUGACUGAACCGGAGAAGGGGGCAGUGGAGGUGGUGGCUAUAUUGGUCGUGGCGGUGGUGAUUUGAGAUGAACUGGAGCACUGGGUUUCGGUGGUGGUGGUGGUGAUCUACUGCUAACCCUAUAAGACACCACUUUUAGCUUAUGGAUGGAAUGGCUGGAGAAACCUUCAGAUGCCUUGACAAUGUAACAAGAGUGCGACAGUAGUAGUCCACAAAUCAGCAAGAAACUUAUCAAACUUGAAUUGGCUUGCUAUUUUUGUGGAUUAGAACCUUAAUAACAAUCUUAGUUUUGGAGGGGGAGCUAGCUAGGGGGAGGAACGAAUUGAUCGAUCUAAUAAUCUUAGUCUGUUUUUAUAACCAAUAUUAUUGAAGAUCGAUCAUCAUGGAAUCGGUGAGAGAGGGAUGAAGACUUUGACAAUGUCUAUAUUUUGCACCAAGUACCAUCUUCUUUGUAGAUUUUUGAUCAACUAAUUAAAGAAAUUGUUGCUAAUGCUUCUUAUUGUGUAUAGAAUCAAACGUUCUUUGUCUAUUGGUAUUCAUUCAAUGUAAACCGAAAGAGUCGAAAGAGGUGUGGAUUGUAAAGACAUAAAUCAUUCAAUCUGAACACGAAAGACCACAAUGGUUGUCGAUUAACAACCCAGAUAGAUUAAUUACUCUCUUCUGAAUCAUAUCAAAGAAAAUUUCACAUAUAUUCAUCAAAUUUAAUAGUAUAUAUCUGAAAUCUUCAGACUUCAGCAUAAAAUUGAUAAUUUCUCGUUGAACUCAUGAACUGUAUAAGAAACUUAAAUGAGAAGUACAAUAUCCGAUCAAGCAUAUAGAGAUGCAAUGUGGGAUUUAUUUAAUUAAACCAUACAUAACACAUCCUGAUCAAUCGAACCAGAGAUGAGAUAUGAUACUGCAUAUAUCUAAUGUCGUAUAAAAACAUAAUCAUGUGGUGGCUACGCUGGUGGUGGCGUCUGUGGUGGUGGUGGAGAGGGGUGAACUGUAGGAUUGGGUUUCGGAGGCGGCGGUGGAGACCUGCGGCUGACCCUGUGGGAUUCCACUCUUAAAUCAAUGGAUGCAAGUGUUCGACACUGUGCCACUCAAUCCAGCUAUAUGGACAAGCAAGUCGAUUUGAUUGCAUUAUAAUGUCUAGGGAAGGUGCAGCGCGCAUCAAUAAAGAUAUCGAUGAUGAUAAUAUAUGCCUCCGAUCCAUCGGCUUCAGGACCUUCACAGAUUCAUAUAUUGAUAGAUAAAAAUCCAUAGUUCAAGGCUAGCUGCAUUAAACGUAUAUAAAAAGGUUUCACAGAUUGACUGUGAAAAAGGUAUAGGAAUAAUCAUAAGAUUCAGAACGAGCUAAAAUGAUACAUAUCGUAGUAAAAAGUGAAAUAUCUAUAAUACAAGGAAUUCGAUCGAAACACGUCUUGAACUCUUGAUUCAAUAUAUGACCAAGUAGCAAAUAAGGGCGCAUGAUGUGGAUACACCAUAUAUAACCAGAUACUAUAUAUAAACGUACAUCGAUCCUUUUGUUCAUUCACGUUAUGGAGGUGGUGGGAUUGACAUAGAUGUUAGCGGUGGUGUUCAUGGAGACGAUGGAAAUGGCGGCGGUUGUGUUAAAGAUAAUAGAGACGGCAAUUGAGGCAGCCAGCGGUGGAGACAGCAAUGGUGGUGGUGGUGGUGGUGACGGCAAUGCUGGUAGUGGUGGUGGUGGAGACACGAACGGUGGCGGUGGUCGAAGUGAAUAAUGGAGUGGAAAUGUCCGUGGAUGGACAGAUGGAGGUGGCGGGGGAGAUCUUGCCCUAAGAGGUAGCCUGUUUGGUAUUAACUAAUUAAAGCAGAGAAGCAGUCUCAAUGGCUUGUGCCCUAAAACUCGAUCCUGGUAAUCCCAGAAUCAUCACCCUUAAGUUGAGGACUAGUUUAGAACUUUUUGGUUUAUGAUUAAAAAGACAUAUUUUUCGAUCACAUGGGCAUCUCAUCUGUUCAGUUUCUAGGUCUAUAUGUGUAGAUCAGCCUUACAAAUUUUUAGCCAAAUAGGUGAUCAUUAAGGUAACAAACUAGAUCAAAUUAAUGAACGAACCAAAUCUGUCAAACAUGAACUGUUCACGUUCAUAAUUGAUAAAUCACACGUAUAAAUGUCUUAACGAUUUUCAAUAUGGCUGAAAAUUUACAGAAAUGAUCUACUCAUAAAUACCUAUAAACUAAACGGUCAAGAUGUGGAUAUAAAAUCGAAAAAUGGGAUAAGACGAAAAGUCCUCAACUUAAGAGUCCUCGUUAGAAGAGCUUCUCUGUACAAAAUCAUUGAAACAAAAAAAGAAAAGGAUUGAAAAUUAACCACUUGAUCAUUGAUGAAGGAUUUUAUUAACCACCAAAUUUUUUCCAAAUGGAAAAAAUUGAAGACCACACCCCAAUUAGGGUAUACUAAGCAGUACACAUGCAUGCAUAUAUGACAGCAUAUAUGCAUGCCUCUGCAUCAUGUGGUUUGCUAACUUCAUUAGCUCAGGGGAGAGGUGGCGGUGGGGAUGGAGGUAGCGGUUGCUUUCUCGGCAUAUGUCGCGGUAUCUGUCGAGUCCCUCGCCUUGGUGGUGGUGGUGGAGGUAUCCGACUGGCCUUGUUUGAUACCACUUCAAAUUUACUCACGGAAAGGUCGGAAAACCCUUCAGCAGCCUUAACCAUGUAACUAGGGUACUUGGAUAGUAGUAAUCCAAAAACCAACAAGACAGUUAUCGAACUUGGAGCGGCAUCCAUUUUUGUCAUAAUACCUUCACGGCUUCGAUCACCACAAUAUGAUUAUAUGAGUUUGGCACAGAAUUUAUAGCCAAACGUUCUCUCAUCUUCUACG